rnacentral:rRNA from 1 species
UGGGGAAUAUUGCACAAUGGGGGAAACCCUGAUGCAGCGACGCCGCGUGAGUGAAGAAGUAUUUCGGUAUGUAAAGCACUAUCAGCAGGGAAGAAAGAAGACGGUACCUGACUAAGAAGCCCCGUCUAACUACGUGCCAGCAGCCGCGGUAAUACGUAGGGGGCAAGCGUUAUCCGGAUUUACUGGGUGUAAAGGGAGCGUAGCCGGCCAUGCAAGUCUGAAGUGAAAGCCCGGGGCUUAACCGCGGGACUGCUUUGGAGACUGUAGGGCUAGAGUGCUGGAGAGGUAAGUGGAAUUCCUAGUGUAGCGGUGAAAUGCGUAGAUAUUAGGAGGAACACCAGUGGCGAAGGCGGCUUACUGGACAGUAACUGACGUUGAGGCUCGAAAGCGUGGGGAGCAAACAGG